UUUCUUUUGUUUUGUAUAUCUCAUCUGAAAUCAGUUGUAUCCUGGUUCUCCGAUUGUUGUGAUCCAGUCAGUCCGAUAACCGGAUCUAAUUUGCAAUACCAAGAACCCUAAAUAUAGAAUUAACACAAGCGUUUCUUUUCAUCCUUUGCCUCCAAUUAGUUCUCUUUUUUUUCAAUUGAAAGAACCUAGAUCUCAUCUCUCUACGGUCAAAAGUAACCUGGAGUCAUCGGAACUGGCGGCACUUGAAGCAUCCAAAGGAUUCGAGAGACGAUAAUGUUCCCUGUUUCAAAUCUUUUUGAGGUGCUCAGUUUUUCUGUCGACAAGGUGGUUGUGGCGUUUGAUUUAUAUGGUUAGGGUUUUCCAGAAUUGGAUCCGGGCACUCCAAAUAAGUGAGACAGGCAAGAGUGAGCUACUUCCGUACCAGCUUGAAGGAUUGAAUUUCUUACGUUUCUCAUGGUCUAAAGUCUAAACAAACACAUGUGAUACUUGCAGACGAAAUGGGUCUUGGGAAACGAUACAAAGUAUUGCUUUUUUGGCAUCGUUGUCUAAAGAGAAUGUCUCCCCUCAUUUAGUAGCACCGCUUUCUACAUUAAGGAAUUGGGAACAUUAAUUUGCUAUAUGGGCUGCUAAUAUGAAUGU
rnacentral:lncRNA from 1 species